rnacentral:rRNA from 1 species
CAGUCGCCGCGGGAAUACGUAGGGGGCAAGCGUUAUCCGGAAUAACUGGGCGUAAAGCGCGCGCAGGCGGAUAGGUCAGUCUGUCUUAAAAGUUCGGGGCUUAACCCCGUGAUGGGAUGGAAACUGCCAAUCUAGAGUAUCGGAGAGGAAAGUGGAAUUCCUAGUGUAGCGGUGAAAUGCGCAGAUAUUAGGAAGAACACCAGUGGCGAAGGCGACUUUCCGGACGAAAACUGACGCUGAGGCGCGAAAGCCAGGGGAGCGAACGGGAUUAGAUACCCCAGUAGUCCCUGUCUCUUAUACA